rnacentral:rRNA from 1 species
CCUACGGGAGGCAGCAGUGGGGGAUAUUGCACAAUGGGGGAAACCCUGAUGCAGCGACGCCGCGUGUGGGAAGACGGUCCUCUGGAUUGUAAACCACUGUCCCCAGGGACGAAGAUGACGGUACCUGGGGAGGAAGCUCCGGCUAACUACGUGCCAGCAGCCGCGGUAAUACGGAGGAUGCGAGCGUUAUCCGGAUUUAUUGGGUUUAAAGGGUGCGUAGGCGGAUCGUUAAGUCAGUGGUCAAAUUGAGGGGCUCAACCCCUUCCCGCCAUUGAAACUGGCGCUCUUGAGUGGAAGAGAAGUAUGCGGAAUGCGUGGUGUAGCGGUGAAAUGCAUAGAUAUCACGCAGAACCCCGAUUGCGAAGGCAGCAUGCCGGCUUCCGACUGACGCUGAAGCACGAAAGCGUGGGGAUCGAACAGGAUUAGAUACCCCUGUAGUC